AUUUCAAAAUGAUCUCAUUAAAUGACACUGAGAAAUGCCUUUUCAAAAUUGGAUUAUUGAAACUGCCAAGGCAGCCACCCCCCUUGUACUAAACAAUUCACCAAAAAUUCGGUUCAACUUUCAAUUGAGCAAGCCUUAGCUUGUUGGAAAGAUAAUAAUAAGGACUAUGUGAUGAAAAAUCUUCACUUACAAAUCAUAAAAAAACACAGACUGAUUGAGGAAAAUCCGAGGCCCUUCAAACCCUUUU
rnacentral:lncRNA from 1 species